rnacentral:lncRNA from 1 species
AACUUGCUUUGGCCAAUGGAACAUUAGCAAAUGUGACACAAGUAGCAACUUGAGAGGUACACGUGUAUUGGAGUUUGCCCUCUCUUGCUGCUGGAAACCCUCCUGCUACCAUGUGACAUAUUCAAGCAAGCCUCCUGGAGCAUGAGACUUUGUGGAGAGAGACCUCAGUCAUCCCAGUCAUCUCAGCUCCAGGGAGGCUGAGGCUUUCUCCUCAGGCAGAAGCUUCAGCCUCCUGGGAAGGAGAUGAAACAGGGCAGUGGAGGAGUGAGAUGACUAUUGCCUCCUUUGGGCCCACAGGUGAACUUCUUUCUGACCAGGUUGCCACCAGAAGCCCCAUCCAGACACCAUGGAGAAGACGGAGCAUCAUAUGCAGACCCUGAACUUUGUGCUGCUGUUGCUGCUGCUGCAGCUGCAUUGACCUCAUGAGUUUUGGGGUUGCCUGUCCGGGUCUUGGGUUUGCCUCCCUGGGGAAAGUGUAAGUGUGUUCUGUGUAAGAGAGGAAGAACAGAUCAUUUGUGACCAGAAGGAAAGACUGUGGAGGACACUGGUUAGCUAGUCUCCAAAAACCACUUCCUUUUUCUCCCAGGCCCACUGCUACACUAUGCUUCCCAGGCUUCUUUACAGCUGCCAUAAUAUGUGUCUCUGCUCUGACCAAUGAAAUGUGGGCACCAGGCCUGGUACAUUAAGCCUCUGACUCAUGACCUUCUGUGCCCUCUCUUCCAAUGGCUACACUGGAGAUGACUAGGACAAUCUUAGGAGUCAGUGUGAAGAUGGUUGAUCCAAAGAUGGAGAAAUCUGGGUCCCUGAAAACCUGAGUCCCUGAGGGUGGAGAAAGGCCACCCUCUAGAAGCAACUGCAUUUGACUACUAACUGAGCAAAAAAUAAAUCAGCUUUAACCAUAUUAAACCCCUGAGAUUUGGGAGUUUAUUGCUAGGUUACCCUAAUCUAUAUACAAGCAGAAUGAAAAGCACGGGCAAAGACAGGAAGAUUGGAAUUCAUGACAUAGCCUGACGAGAGUGAGGACUUCUCUAGACAUGAGGGACAGAGUGACAGAAGAUGAGCUUGAAGGAUUCCUUUGGGAAAAUUCCUGCAGGUCUUGAAUGCCAUGCAAAGAUUUGGACUUUAUUCUACAGAAAAUGGGGACCACUUAAAAAAAGUGUUUUUUCUUCUAUUUAAAACUGCUAUAGUAAAUGCUGCCAGUAAUCUGCUCUUCUAAAGUAACUAAAAAUCCAAACUUUCACAUAUUAUUGCCCCCCCAAAAUUGAAAAUGUGAAAAAUGUAAUCACCAGGCUGACAACAGCUUUUGCAGUCUGUUAAAGCUGCAACUCGUAUCAAAUGAGUCCUGCCAAAUUCAUUGAGAAAUCAGUAACUAUCAGAGAAAAACUCCCAACAUGUAAUAUCUGCCUCUUCAUGAAACUGUGUGUGUGUGUGUGUGUGUGUGUGUGUGUGUGUGCAUGUGUAUAUCAGAGAGAUAUAUAUUUUUUCAGGUAAUAAAUGGUAUUCAUGCAACAAAACAAAAUCUGAAAUGGGGCUUCAAUUAAGGCCACAUUUACCAAACUUGUUCUGUGUGACAGGUGUUCUGAUAGGUGCCUAUGAUAGAAAAAUAAAUGAUCAACCAGGACUUCAAAUCACUCCCAGAUUAAUGCAAGAGGUAGGCACAUAAACAGGUUAACCAUAAGGGCACAUGCUACUAUAAAAAUAGGACUCACUAGAUCUAUGGAGGUUAGGAGAGAAUCCAAGAUGACUGAACUUUCUUAACCUGAUCCUGAAGAUCAUUCUUGAUCGGAUCCAACCUACCUUUGCAGGCUGAAAUUCCAUUACUUUUCUUCACACGAUUUCUUGCUCUUAGACCUAUCCUGCACUUUUGCACUUCCAUGCUUUGUCCUCUGCCUCGAAUUCUCUCCCUGACCUAUCACUAACCCCUGUUUACAGUGCCACUAAGAUUCCACUCAGGAAAUCUUCCCUGGUUCCAGUGGGAUGUAUCUUUUCCCUUCUUUAGAGUCUCUUCUUUUCUCUGUGUCCUGAGGAAGUUACCACUUUCUGCUUUGCAUCAUAGUUAUUUUCUGACUUGCUGGUCUUGUCUGAUCUCUACACUAAACCAUAAGCUCCCUGAAGACCAGGAGUGUUUCUAUUCCUUUCUUAUACUUCUGGUAUCAAGUAUAGCAAUUUGUAGGUACAUGGUGGAUGUUCAGUAAGUAUUUUCUGAAUGUCGGAAUGUAAAACUCAAAAGCCACUGGAGACACUGAAUCUACACACAACACUGCAACCCUCUCCUUGGCCAAGAGCUUCAUUGUUGGGUGAUAUAUGAUGUUUUCCUGGGAAAGGAAGGAGGGCAAUUUUGUAAGAGAAUUAAGUGAGGGUGCACAAGGAAAGUAAAAAUAGUGCUACAUUCCUGGUUCCAAAUAGUGUGUAGUUGUAUAACAAAAAUUAAAACUGUCCAAUAAGCCAAUAUCUUAGCUUAUUGAUUAAAAGAGAUUGAAAGCUCCAAAUCUUCUUUAUUGCAAAACAAUCUUUUAUAAAAGAAUCUCUAUUAACAUCAUGUCAGCAUUCUCUUACAAAAUCCAGCAAGGGGAAAAUGGGGAGUUGCCUCCCUUUCUAAUAUCAACACCAUUAAUAAACAGUAUUAACAUUCGGGCAGCUGAAUGGGGAAGAAAUAUUGACUAUCUGUAAUGUUCCCACAUUGGUGCUUUAAGAGUUCUGGAAGCUAAAACAUAGACAAAUCAGCAUUACUCAGUAGAGAAGGGCCAAAGCCAAAAGUAGAAAAGAUCAAUGUUUAUAAAAUAUUGAAGUAAACCAAAUUUGUUUACUAAGAUCUGGAAUAUAAUAAAGAAGGAGAAAUACAUUUGACAUUUAAAUGAGGACAAAUUUAGGGAAAAUAAAAAUACGUACAAAUUUUGUCUCAUUUGGGUAAACUUUAGGUUUUAGUUAACUAAGACAAGAGCAAACCAGAAUGAAAAGAUAAAUAAAUCCAUAAUGUCUCCAUAAAAAUUUAUUGAAAGUAGACUUUUGGGGGAGUGAUCCUGAAUCAGUUAGGUUCUAGGGCCUAGAGGCCACUGCAAUUAUUACAAGACCUGGAAAUACAUACUCACAUCGAGCCUUGUCUAUGGAUUGUACACAUGAUAUGCCUAACUCAUAUGUUCUACCAGUUGACAUGAACACAUAGAUACUUUACUGAUGAGUAACAGAAUGUCAGCAGGUUAGGGAAGCCAGGCAGGCUAAUCUCCCAGGGACACACUCUGUGGUAGAAGCUGUCAGAGGGAGGGAGGGGCCUUACUUUCUGGGGGGGCACAUAAUCAAUGACAGGGGUCACGGUAGGAGCAUGGGCUUUGAAAGGCCCUGAGUAGAAGAGAGAGGGGUAGAGCCAGUAAGACAGCCUAAGGCUGUAUGGAAAGCAAUGGAACCUCUCAGGGCUUCAGGAAAAUUUCCACAAUCAUAAAAUUCUGUAUAUGGUUAAAUUUUUUGUGGAAAAUGGUUAAAAGGCUGAGCUUCUGGAUUUGACACAGGGCUCCUCCCAGACAGAAAAAAAAAAGUGGGAAUAAAGCAAAAUAUAAGGAAUUAGAGGGGGAAACUCAAAGAAAAACUAACAGCACUUUGCAUGCUACAGCAUUAUAAGGCUCUGGAAAUGGAGUUCCAGCCAAAUUUCACCUGAGGUGAAUGGGGACCUUGAGUAAUACUUUAGUUUCUCUGUUGUUGUUGCUUUUGUUUUUGAGACAGGGUCUCCCUCUGUCACCAAGGCUGGAGUGCAGUGAUGUAAUCUCAGUUCACUGCAGCCUCAACCUCCCAGGGUCAAGCAAUCCUCCAGCCUCUCAGCCUCUCAAGUAGAUAAGACUACUGGCAUGUGUCACAACUGGCUAAUUUUUGUAUUUUUUGUAGAGAUGGGGUCUCACUAUAUUGCCUAGGCUGGUGUCAAACUCCUGGACCCAAGGGGUCCACCCACCUCGGCCUCCCAAAGUGCUGGGAUUAUAGGUGUGAGCUACCAAGCCCAGCUGUUGUUUAAGAGACAUGAUCUCACUCUGUGGAGAUCCUUCUGCCUCAGCCUCUUGAGUCGCUGGGACUACAGACGCAUGCCACCACACCUGGCUAAUUAUUUUUUUAAUUUUUGUAGAGAUAGGGUCUUGCUAUGUUGCCCAGGCUGGUCUUAAGCUCCUGGCCUCAAGCAAUCCUCCCACCUCAGCCCACCUAGUGGCUGGGAUUACAGGCAUGAACCACAGCACUCAGCCUUAGUUUCUUAAAUAAAUUCACUUUAAAAUGUUCCUGAAAUCUUGGAAGCUUUUUUCCACUAUUUGUUUUCAGUUGAUGGAAUAAUUUUUCAGUUGAUUCCAUUUCAGUUGAUGGAAUAAUUUUUAAUGGUUUACAUUUUAAAACAUUUUCAUAUUAUAAGCAUUAAGAACCAGCCGGGCACACUGACUCACACCUGUAAUCCCAGCACUUUGGGAAGCCAAGGCGGGUGGAUCACCUGAGGUCAGGAGUUUGAGAUCAGCCUGGCCAACAUAGCAAAUCCCCUUCUCUACUAAAAAUACAAAAAAUUAGCUGGGUGUGGUGGCAGGUGCCUGUAAUCCCAGCUACUUGGGAGGGUGAGACAGGAGAAUUGCUUGAGCCUGGGAGGCAGAGGUUGCAUUGAGCCAAGAUCACGCCAUUGCACUCCAGCCUGGGUGACAGAGCGAGAAUCUGAAAAAAAAAAAAAAAGUUAAGAGCCAUUAUUUUGAGAGUAUUAGCAUAUUAUGGUUGAUGUCAAGAAUACAAAAUUGUUAGCCUCAUCAGGGAAGGCUGAGCUGAGUCCCCUGCAGGCCAUGGUCUUUAAGGAGAGCAUCCAUCUACUACAUCCCGACCCCACGUGCUAUUGAGUGAAUAGAAUGCUGACAACAAGGAAGGCCCAGAAUGGGUGUAAAUGGUCACACCUUUCAUCAAAAUUAAUGCUUUCCUUUCCUUGCUGUACCUAAUUUAAUCCCCAAAC